GAUGAACGCUGGCGGCGUGCCUAAUACAUGCAAGUCGAGCGAACAGACGAGGAGCUUGCUCCUUCGACGUUAGCGGCGGACGGGUGAGUAACACGUAGGUAACCUACCUAUAAGACUGGGAUAACUUCGGGAAACCGGAGCUAAUACCGGAUAAUAUUUCGAACCGCAUGGUUCGAUAGUGAAAGAUGGCUUUGCUAUCACUUAUAGAUGGACCUGCGCCGUAUUAGCUAGUUGGUAAGGUAACGGCUUACCAAGGCAACGAUACGUAGCCGACCUGAGAGGGUGAUCGGCCACACUGGAACUGAGACACGGUCCAGACUCCUACGGGAGGCAGCAGUAGGGAAUCUUCCGUAAUGGGCGAAAGCCUGACGGAGCAACGCCGCGUGAGUGAUGAAGGUCUUCGGAUCGUAAAACUCUGUUAUUAGGGAAGAACAAACGUGUAAGUAACUGUGCACGUCUUGACGGUACCUAAUCAGAAAGCCACGGCUAACUACGUG
rnacentral:rRNA from 1 species